rnacentral:rRNA from 1 species
CAUGGACGAAAGUCUGACGGAGCAACGCCGCGUGAGUGAUGAAGGUUUUCGGAUCGUAAAGCUCUGUUGUUAGGGAAGAACAAGUACCGUUCGAAUAGGGCGGUACCUUGACGGUACCUAACCAGAAAGCCACGGCUAACUACGUGCCAGCAGCCGCGGUAAUACGUAGGUGGCAAGCGUUGUCCGGAAUUAUUGGGCGUAAAGGGCUCGCAGGCGGUUCCUUAAGUCUGAUGUGAAAGCCCCCGGCUCAACCGGGGAGGGUCAUUGGAAACUGGGGAACUUGAGUGCAGAAGAGGAGAGUGGAAUUCCACGUGUAGCGGUGAAAUGCGUAGAGAUGUGGAGGAACACCAGUGGCGAAGGCGACUCUCUGGUCUGUAACUGACGCUGAGGAGCGAAAGCGUGGGGAGCGA